AUACUCAGCUGUUAGAGUGAAAAACUUUUAAUUUUUUGGUCGUGAGUUCGAGUCUCAC
rnacentral:tRNA from 1 species